GCUGGGCGUGGUGGCACAUGCCUGUAAUCCCAGCUACUCGGGAGGCUGAGAUAUGAGAAUUGCUUGAACCCAGGAGGCUGGGGUUGCAGUGAGCCAAGAUCGUGCCACUGCACUCCAGCCUGGGUGACAGAGCGAGAUUCUGUCUCAA
ensembl:misc_RNA Metazoa_SRP Metazoan signal recognition particle RNA